rnacentral:misc_RNA from 1 species
GAUGAAGAACGUAGCGAAAUGCGAUAAGUAAUGUGAAUUGCAGAAUUCAGUGAAUCAUCGAAUCUUUGAACGCACAUUGCGCCCAUUAGCAUUCUAGUGGGCAUGCCAGUUCGAGCGUCAUUUCAACCCUUAAGCCCUGUUGCUUAGCGUUGGGAGCCUACAGUACUGUAGCUCCCCAAAGUUAGUGGCGGAGUCGGUUUCACACUCUAGACGUAGUAAUUUUUUCUCGUCUGUAGUUGAGCCGGUCCCCUGCCGUAAAACACCCAAUUUAUCAAGGUUGACCUCGGAUCAGGUAGGAAUACCCGCUGAACUUAAGCAUAUCAAUAAGCGGAGGA